rnacentral:rRNA from 1 species
AGCGAACGCUGGCGGCAGGCUUAACACAUGCAAGUCGAACGGCAGCACAGUAAGAGCUUGCUCUUAUGGGUGGCGAGUGGCGGACGGGUGAGGAAUACAUCGGAAUCUACUUUUUCGUGGGGGAUAACGUAGGGAAACUUACGCUAAUACCGCAUACGCCCUACGGGUGAAAGCAGGGGAUCUUCGGACCUUGCGUGAUUGAAUGAGCCGAUGUCGGAUUAGCUAGUUGGCGGGGUAAAGGCCCACCAAGGCGACGAUCCGUAGCUGGUCUGAGAGGAUGGUCGGCCACACUGGAACUGAGACACGGUCCAGACUCCUACGGGAGGCAGCAGUGGGGAAUAUUGGACAAUGGGCGCAAGCCUGAUCCAGCCAUACCGCGUGGGUGAAGAAGGCCUUCGGGUUGUAAAGCCCUUUUGUUGGGAAAGAAAAGCAGCAGGUUAAUACCCCGCUGUUCUGACGGUACCCAAAGGAUAAGCACCGGCUAACUUCGUG